CCUACGGGAGGCUGCAGUGAGGAAUAUUGGUCAAUGGGCGCGAGCCUGAACCAGCCAAGUCGCGUGAGGGAUGACGGCCCUACGGGUUGUAAACCUCUUUUGCCGGGGCGCAACGGGCGCCACGUCUGGCGCCACUGAGAGUACCCGGAGAAAAAGCAUCGGCUAACUCCGUGCCAGCAGCCGCGGUAAUACGGAGGAUGCGAGCGUUAACCGAAUUUAUUGGGUGUAAAGGGUUCGGAGGGGGAUCGUAAAGUCAGUGGGCACAUUGGGGGGCGAAACCACUUCCCGCCAUUGAAACUGGCUUGCUUGAGUGGAGGAGAGGUAGGCGGAAUGCGUGGUGUAGCGGUGAAAUGCAUAGAUAUCACGCAGAACACCGAUUGCGAAGGCAGCAUGCCGGCCUCCGACUGACGCUGAGGCACGAAAGCGUGGGGAUCGAACAGGAUUAGAUACCCCAGUAGUC
rnacentral:rRNA from 1 species